UUACGACCAUAUCACUUUGAAACACCGGUUCCCGUAUGAUCAUCGAAGUUAAGCAACGAAGAGCCUGGUCACUACCUAGAUGGGCGACUGCUUGGGAAUACCAAGUGAUGUAAG